GGAGCAGAGUGAGCAGAUGCGUAAGAUGCAAAGAUGACAGUGUUUUAUUUAAUUAUGUUUAGGUAACUGGGUCAUAUUCAUUAGGGCACACCGUUGCAAAACGUAGUAGAACAUUUUGUAAAUAAAAACAAUUACUACAACAGCCUUACUACAACAACAAAAAUUGUGGCAAAGUUCAAACUUGCCACAAAAUGUUGCCAGAAGUUUGCAAAUGUUUGCCACUAGUGCUGAAUCAGCGGGAAACAUUUGUCAACAAUAAUAUUUAUUGCCAAUAGUGGCAAACAGUUUGCCAGAGUUUUUUUCUGGCAAACAAUUCGCUCAAGAUUGUAUUUGAAUCUGUGGCAAACCCAUAAACAUUAAGAGAAAACCUGUGGCAACAAUAAAUAUUGUUGCCAUUUCUGUUAAACAUUGAGUUCCAAGACGAGAAACCGUUGAUGACGACCAGUCAGAGGGAGAAGAAACAUUUGUUGGAAAAUGGAUACCAAGCUAUCUAGCUACCUACCAAAGUUGUCUGGUUAGUAGCAACCCCAGCAAGUCAAACUAGUGGCUCAGCCUUCAAUAAGCCCGAGCAAGACUAGAGCAACACGAAGAAUCCAUCCAUUCCAGACCGACCUUAAUCCACUAUCAAGGUCAGGUCAGGAGCAACAUGGAACUGUGGAUGCUACUAUUGUCAACUACCUAUGCUAACUUCAUCUUACUAUGCACAUUCGAGAGCAUCCUGUCAGGCUGUAUCGCAGCCUGGUACGGCAACUGCUCCGCCCACAACCGCGAGGCUCUCCAAAGGGUGGUGCAGUCUGCACAACGCAUCACCGGGGGCAAACUACCUGCCCUCCAGGACACCUACAGCACCCGAUGUCACAGGAAGGCCAAAAAGAUCAAAGGCAACAACCACCCGAGCCACUGCCUGUUCACCCCACUACCAUCCAGAAGGCGAUGUCAGUACAGGUGCAUCAAAGUAGGGACCGAGAGAGUGAAAAACAACUUCUAUCUCAAGGCCAUUUGAUUUGAUCCUGACCACAAAAAACGUGGCUGAAAUGAAAUCCACAAUAGCCUAACCCUGAGAAAUGGGAUUUCCCCCUAGGGUGGUUGGAUUUAGGAGAGGCGGCAAUCUGCAGGCUUCCUCCACUUAAAAGCAGACCAUCCAUGUUGUUUUCUUCUGUCCAUUAUAUUGCACACAGCUGAAACAUGGGAUAUGUCAUUCAUAAUAUAGGUUAUUUAACACAUUUUGCAUUAAUAGUGAUUGACAAUCCACCACACUUUGAGGAAACAUGCAAAAACGUCAAACAAGGUCAAACAAAUACAAAGUGGACACUUUAUUUUACAAAUUAAUCCGUUUCUGUUUAUUAUUUUUUUCAUAUAUUGAUUUUUUUCUCAUUUAGACAAAGACUCAAAAUGUCAAUAACAAUGGCUAUAAUGUGAUAGAAGACAACAUAAAAUGAGAUCCAAUAUACAGCAUAUAGACAUUAAAUACGUAUUGAAACAAACACCAAAAAGGAGAAUGUAAAACAACAAAAUAAACAUUUGAGUAAAAAAAAACAAGGUACAAGUCAGGGAAAAGCAUUGGUGUUUCAGCUGAAGUUCCCGCUCAAUGUCUAAAAGUGACACACAAUCAUUAAAGCCUUCUAUCCAAAAACCAUUGGUCGUCUUUCGUCGUCAGAGAAUAGAACAGCCAAUCAGUCACACUUUACAUCCAAGGGAAGGGGAUAGUAGUACACGUAUGUCACGUCUAGAAAAUAAUUACGGUGACGGCAUUCUGAGUAGAAUGACGGUUUUAAGGUAUGGCAGUGUAAAAAGUGCUGAUUCUCCCAUACUGAGGGAAUGAAGAUCAUCCCAACCCCACAUUCAUUGUGCUGGAGUACAGUAUAGCAUCAUUAUCAGAAUCCACCUGCAAAUCUCUAGUCAUAUGUUCAAGACACAAGAACCAGUCUUAUCCAGGGCUAUACAUGAAUUCUCCACUAGUCUUUCCUCCUUUCGCUAAAUAAAUUCAUGUAAACGACAAGUAGAGUGAUGUUCAAUGUAAGGAUGUUGAGGAUGCCUAGACCUGUUUCUCUAUCAGUGUGUGUGUGUGUGUGUGUGUGUGUGUGUGUGUGUGUGUAAAUCCUUGAACCCAAGAGACCCAAACAGACAGGCCCACAGAGCAGUCAGUAGCAAGGAGCCAUUCUACAUUGCGGGACAGGGACCUACUGGAUGGUGCAUACAAGAGGAGAGACUAAGACCACGAAGUAACUUUGACUGAAUAUAAAAAUAACCGUUUCUUGCUGUUCCAAUGUCAUUUCUCAAUGAUUUUUUUUUUUAAACGACUGGGAAUACAUUCUAUGCUAUAA